GACGUAGGGCGCGAGCGUUGUCCGGAUUUAUUGGGCGUAAAGAGCUCGUAGGCGGCUUGUCGCGUCGAAUGUGAAAUCUCGGGGCUCAACUCCGAGCUUGCAUUCGAUACGGGCAGGCUAGAGUUCGGUAGGGGAGACUGGAAUUCCUGGUGUAGCGGUGAAAUGCGCAGAUAUCAGGAGGAACACCGGUGGCGAAGGCGGGUCUCUGGGCCGAUACUGACACUGAGGAGCGAAAGCGUGGGGAGCGAACAGG
rnacentral:rRNA from 1 species